rnacentral:rRNA from 1 species
GGUGAAAAGCACCCCGGAAGGGGAGUGAAAUAGAACCUGAAACCGUGUGCUUACAAGUAGUCAGAGCCCGUUAAUGGGUGAUGGCGUGCCUUUUGUAGAAUGAACCGGCGAGUUACGAUUUGAUGCAAGGUUAAGCAGUAAAUGUGGAGCCGUAGCGAAAGCGAGUCUGAAUAGGGCGUUUAGUAUUUGGUCGUAGACCCGAAACCAGGUGAUCUACCCUUGGUCAGGUUGAAGUUCAGGUAACACUGAAUGGAGGACCGAACCGACUUACGUUGAAAAGUGAGCGGAUGAACUGAGGGUAGCGGAGAAAUUCCAAUCGAACCUGGAGAUAGCUGGUUCUCUCCGAAAUAGCUUUAGGGCUAGCCUCAAGUGAUGAUUAUUGGAGGUAGAGCACUGUUUGGACGAGGGGCCCCUCUCGGGUUACCGAAUUCAGACAAACUCCGAAUGCCAAUUAAUUUAACUUGGGAGUCAGAACAUGGGUGAUAAGGUCCGUGUUCGAAAGGGAAACAGCCCAGACCACCAGCUAAGGUCCCAAAAUAUAUGUUAAGUGGAAAAGGAUGUGGCGUUGCCCAGACAACUAGGAUGUUGGCUUAGAAGCAGCCAUCAUUUAAAGAGUGCGUAAUAGCUCACUAGUCGAGUGACACUGCGCCGAAAAUGUACCGGGGCUAAACAUAUUACCGAAGCUGUGGAUUGUCCUUUGGACAAUGGUAGGAGAGCGUUCUAAGGGCGUUGAAGCAUGAUCGUAAGGACAUGUGGAGCGCUUAGAAGUGAGAAUGCCGGUGUGAGUAGCGAAAGACGGGUGAGAAUCCCGUCCACCGAUUGACUAAGGUUUCCAGAGGAAGGCUCGUCCGCUCUGGGUUAGUCGGGUCCUAAGCUGAGGCCGACAGGCGUAGGCGAUGGAUAACAGGUUGAUAUUCCUGUACCACCUAUAAUCGUUUUAAUCGAUGGGGGGACGCAGUAGGAUAGGCGAAGCGUGCGAUUGGAUUGCACGUCUAAGCAGUAAGGCUGAGUAUUAGGCAAAUCCGGUACUCAUUAAGGCUGAGCUGUGAUGGGGAGAAGACAUUGUGUCUUCGAGUCGUUGAUUUCACACUGCCGAGAAAAGCCUCUAGAUAGAAAAUAGGUGCCCGUACCGCAAACCGACACAGGUAGUCAAGAUGAGAAUUCUAAGGUGAGCGAGCGAACUCUCGUUAAGGAACUCGGCAAAAUGACCCCGUAACUUCGGGAGAAGGGGUGCUCUUUAGGGUUAACGCCCAGAAGAGCCGCAGUGAAUAGGCCCAAGCGACUGUUUAUCAAAAACACAGGUCUCUGCUAAACCGUAAGGUGAUGUAUAGGGGCUGACGCCUGCCCGGUGCUGGAAGGUUAAGAGGAGUGGUUAGCUUCUGCGAAGCUACGAAUCGAAGCCCCAGUAAACGGCGGCCGUAACUAUAACGGUCCUAAGGUAGCGAAAUUCCUUGUCGGGUAAGUUCCGACCCGCACGAAAGGCGUAACGAUUUGGGCACUGUCUCAACGAGAGACUCGGUGAAAUCAUAGUACCUGUGAAGAUGCAGGUUACCCGCGACAGGACGGAAAGACCCCGUGGAGCUUUACUGUAGCCUGAUAUUGAAAUUCGGCACAGCUUGUACAGGAUAGGUAGGAGCCUUUGAAACGUGAGCGCUAGCUUACGUGGAGGCGCUGGUGGGAUACUACCCUAGCUGUGUUGGCUUUCUAACCCGCACCACUUAUC